UACGUAGGCAGCAAGCGUUGUUCGGAAUUACUGGGCGUAAAGGGCGCGUAGGCGGCCUGUUAAGUCGAACGUGAAAUCCCCGGGCUCAACCCGGGAACUGCGUCCGAUACUGGCAGGCUUGAAUCCGGGAGAGGGAUGCGGAAUUCCAGGUGUAGCGGUGAAAUGCGUAGAUAUCUGGAGGAACACCGGUGGCGAAGGCGGCAUCCUGGACCGGCAUUGACGCUGAGGCGCGAAAGCCAGGGGAGCAAACGGG
rnacentral:rRNA from 1 species